rnacentral:rRNA from 1 species
GAUGAACGCUGGCGGUGUGCCUAAUACAUGCAAGUCGAGCGAAUGACGAGGAGCUUGCUCCUCUGAUUUAGCGGCGGACGGGUGAGUAACACGUGGGUAACCUGCCUGUAAGACGGGGAUAACUCCGGGAAACCGGAGCUAAUACCGGAUGAUAACGAGAAGCGCCUGCUUCUUUUUUGAAAGUCGGUUUCGGCUGACGCUUACAGAUGGGCCCGCGGCGCAUUAGCUAGUUGGUGAGGUAACGGCUCACCAAGGCGACGAUGCGUAGCCGACCUGAGAGGGUGAUCGGCCACACUGGGACUGAGACACGGCCCAGACUCCUACGGGAGGCAGCAGUAGGGAAUCUUCGGCAAUGGACGAAAGUCUGACCGAGCAACGCCGCGUGAGCGAUGAAGGCCUUCGGGUCGUAAAGCUCUGUUGUCAGAGAAGAACAAGUACCGGAGUAACUGCCGGUACCUUGACGGUACCUGACCAGAAAGCCACGGCUAACUACGUGCCAGCCGCCGCAGUAACAC